AACGAACGCUGGCGGCAGGCUUAACACAUGCAAGUCGAGCGCGUAGCAAUACGAGCGGCAGACGGGUGAGUAACACGUGGGGAUCUGCCCGAUGGUACGGAAUAACUCAGGGAAACUUGUGCUAAUACCGUAUAUGCCCGCAAGGGGAAAGAUUUAUCGCCAUCGGAUGAACCCGCGUCAGAUUAGCUAGUUGGUGUGGUAAAGGCGCACCAAGGCGACGAUCUGUAGCUGGUCUGGGAGGAUGAACAGCCACACUGGGACUGAGACACGGCCCAGACUCCUACGGGAGGCAGCAGUGGGGAAUAUUGGACAAUGGGCGCAAGCCUGAUCCAGCCAUGCCGCGUGAGUGAUGAAGGCCUUAGGGUUGUAAAGCUCUUUCGCCGACGAAGAUAAUGACGGUAGUCGGAGAAGAAGCCCCGGCUAACUUCGUGCCAGCCGCCGCCGUAAGAC
rnacentral:rRNA from 1 species